rfam:Oryza punctata chromosome 11, whole genome shotgun sequence.
AAAGAGCGCAGUUUUAUAUUGUUCAUGUUCAAUGUUUACCCGUUCGUCUUAUUUGAAUUUUUUUAUGAUAUUAUUUUUAUAGUUAUUAGAUAUAAAACAUGAAUAGUACUUUAUGUAUGACUUUUUUUUAAAAAUAUUUUAUAAAUUUUUUAAAUAAGACAGAUGGUAAAACAUUGGAUAUGGAUAUUCACGGCUGCACUUAAG